UACGGAGGGUGCAAGCGUUAUCCGGAUUCACUGGGUUUAAAGGGUGCGUAGGUGGGCAGGUAAGUCAGUGGUGAAAUCUCCGGGCUUAACCCGGAAACUGCCGUUGAUACUAUAGGUCUUGAAUCUUCUGGAGGUCAGCGGAAUAUGUCAUGUAGCGGUGAAAUGCUUAGAUAUGACAUAGAACACCAAUUGCGAAGGCAGCUGACUACAGGGGCAUUGACACUGAGGCACGAAAGCGUGGGGAUCAAACAGG
rnacentral:rRNA from 1 species